rnacentral:rRNA from 1 species
UACGUAGGGGGCUAGCGUUGUCCGGAAUCAUUGGGCGUAAAGAGCGUGUAGGCGGCCAAACAGGUCCGUUGUGAAAACUGGAGGCUUAACCUCCAGACGUCGACGGAAACCGUGUGGCUAGAGUCCGGAAGAGGAGAGUGGAAUUCCUGGUGUAGCGGUGAAAUGCGCAGAUAUCAGGAAGAACACCAAUGGCGAAGGCAGCUCUCUGGGACGGUACUGACGCUGAGACGCGAAAGCGUGGGGAGCGAACAGG